rnacentral:lncRNA from 1 species
AUGAGCAGGCAUACAUGGAGGCAGAACGCAGGCACGCCACGGGCCUGAAGCAGGGCUGCCACACGCCACCAUUCGACAACUCAAGGGCACCAUUCAUUCAUGCAGGCUGUCCUGACAAAAUGCCAAGUUAGCAAAAUAAGGUAUGUUUGUUUUUUUUUUUUUAAUAAUCGCUUCUUUUAGAUAAAUGUGCAAUCUUCCUUUAUAAAAGCUUUUUGUGAGAAGUUUCUUAUCUCAUGUAGCACACACCACGGUUGUAUCACCUAAGCCAUGGCAAUCUGCAAUAAGAUAAGUACAGAGAGUAAAACAGUGUUUAGAUACAAUUAUAGCAAUUUGAUAUUGCUGUGGCAAAUUUAUAUUUCUCAAAAGUGCUGGUCUGCAGUGCACUGGGAAAACAAAAACGAAAAACUGAUCCUUCACACAGAGCUGGUGAAGUAGUGACCUAAACUCCGCUUGUAAUUAAAGAAUGGUUGCACUACAUCUAAAUGUCUAUUCUAUCUACUCAUACCUAUUUUAUACUAUCUUAUAGAUCUAACUCCCCGACCCCUUUCCCCAACAGUGGCAGUGUUCCUGUAAUUAAGGCACACGGGGUUUGGUGGGUUACAUAAUUCCCAUGUUAUCUUCCAAGCCCUUCCACAUCGACUGGCAAAACCACCAGUGUGAAGAGUCUGAGGACACUAUAGGCGCAGAAAGAUCCUCCCUUCCCACCAUGCCCCAACCUGAACAGCUGCUUUCACUAUCUUCCUUUCUCCUUUCCCUGGGGGGCUCUAAGAGAACUCUGGGAAAAUGCAAUUAAGUUCAAGAGAUAAUCUAAUUUCUCAUUAGCCUUGAGGUAGCUUAUCAGCAUUCCAGGGCCUAACAAAAAAGAACCAGAGACUCAACAAUGCCACAGAUUCCACUGGGUUCCAAUUCCCAAGGUUGCUUAAGUAUCAGUAAACAAGCGCUGCUAGAGUGUAGAGCAGGAGGGGCAAGUGGCUGGAAAUGAGCCAGGAGCAGUACUUGCUCUGUUCACUUGGAUUAUUCAUAAUGAAUCACAGGGAAGAACCCAUUUUAUUAUAAUACUAGUGUGGGCACUGAGAGAUAACAGGUGCAUGAAGUGACUUGGAGGCCCCCUAAAUGGCUUCCAUCCCACCCAAGGAACAAGCCUGGACAAAAGCCCCCAGGCCUGUGCCCUGGCAUCUCAGAGAACCUCCUUAGGUCCCAGUCCCACCUUCCAUCCUGUCUUCCCACCUCCCUUGCUCAAGACUGACACCUCUCGUUUCAUCCUGUUGCCUCAGUCAAAUUCUCUUUCUGACCCUUGAUUUCAGCCUCACCCUGGGUGUCAUCCUUCUGACUAACUCUUCAUGUCAAGCUCUGCAGUCCUGAAGCCAUUUCUUUUCUUUUCUUUUUUCUUUUUUUUUUUUUUUUGAUGGAGUAUCACUCUGUCAUCCAGGCUUGGAGUGUACAGUGGUGCAAUCUUGGCUCACCGCAACUUUGCGUCCCUGGUUCAAGUGAUUCCUCCGCCUCGGCCUCCCAAGUAGCUGAGACUACAGGCACACGCCACAACGCCCAGCUAAUUUUUAUAUUUUUAGCAGAGACAGGGUUUUGUCAUGUUGGCCAGGCUGGUCUUGAACUCCUGACCUCAGGUGAUCCACCUGCCUUGGCCUCCCAAAGUGCUGGGAACACAGGCGUGAGCCACCAUGCCCGGCCUCAAGAAUCUGUUCUUCAUGGGUUAUCUACUGUUUCAUUACAACAAUCAUCUUGUGAGUUAGGUAUUAUCCCCAUUUUAUACCCAGAGAAACUAAGCCUUAGAAAGGUAACUAAGGAUACACACACACAGAGACACUUUUAAUACGUAGAUAGGUGAGUAACAGAGCUAGUACUCUAACCCUGGUCUGAUUCCAGAGCCUAUACAGCCUCUCCUGGUAAGGCAGAUGUUAACAUUUUGAAGCAAUGGUAAAUUAAAGGAUGAAAUAACUCCUGGCCUUAAGUCCCUGCUAUCCAUAGCCAGUGGGCAUCUGCUCACUCCAUGCCAUAGGUGCUUGAUGGCAGAGGCAAACUGCAUAGCAACAUAUGGUGAAAAUGGACUUUUUACAGUAAUACUGAAUAGAAAUACCUAGAAUAGUCUCUCUCCUUAUAGUCCUCGUAAAACCUAUGUUAUAAACCUUAAAGACAGCACAAAUAGUACCCUUCCUGUGAGGCAGGCCCUGGAAAAACUGUAUGUUUUCUCCUUUUCACUUUGAGGAUAUUACGGCAUUUACUACACUAUGAGUCAUCAUCAGCUUCCCUGCUAGACUGCGCACUUCGUAAGAACUGUAUCUUAUUAUUCGUGGCAUCCCCAGCACUGUACCUGACACACAAGAGGGACUCGGUAAAUGUUUGCUGAAUAAACUAGUAUAUUAAUUAAAGUAGUAUUCUCCCAAUAUGUAUUCCCAAGUAUUGGUGAUUAACAGGCUUAUUAAAAAUGAAGCUAAUUUCAAAAAACAAAAUAUGAAUGUAACUAUAAUUAUACCAGCAAAUUGGUUUGACAAUAUAGAAAUGACCUCUGGAAAAAAAUAGUUUGGGGGUUAAAAGCUGUUAUCGUCAAAUAACCUUAAAGUAGAAACAAUGAACACCAAGGCUACAAGAUAUUUCCCAAACAAAACAAAAGGAAGCAUAUGUUCCGUGAAUCAAGGAAGCAUAUGUUCCUUGAAUCAGAUUCAAGACAAGAUGUGAACUUCUGCUAUUUCACUAAUUUCUUGGGGAAUAAUCAUUUCUGUUCAGGGUGAUUUCACUGAGAUUUGUAAUAUCACAUUUUACACAGUAGGUGUGUGAGAUUGAAAUUUAAAGAUUAAUUUCACCUGUGAAUUAUUCUACAUCAUAGUUUACAGAAAAUUAUAAAAUUUUAGUUCUGUUAAAAAUAUACCACAAAAUUAUAUGUUCAUACUAUGGCAAAAAAUUAAAGAGUGGUUAACUACAUGAGAAAAGAAAAUCCUUCUAUUAUAAGAAAUAAUUACUUAUUAGAACAAGUAAUUGCUUUCAAGUAGUCCUUGAAAGCAAUAGUAAAUGUCAAUGCAAAGAUUUCAUGGACGUCGGUGGGGCAUACUGAACAAACAGCAGCUGUGCUAAUGCCAUCUAUGAAUGCAUAACAGGCGGU